rnacentral:rRNA from 1 species
UACGUAGGGACCAAGCGUUGUCCGGAAUCAUUGGGCGUAAAGAGCGUGUAGGCGGCUUGUUAAGUCUUGCGUGAAAUCUCGGGGCUCAACCCCGAGCGGUCGUGAGAAACUGGCAGGCUAGAGUGCGGGAGGGGAGAGUGGAAUUCCUGGUGUAACGGUGAAAUGCGCAGAUAUCAGGAGGAACACCGGUGGCGAAGGCGGAUCUCUGGGCCGACACUGACGCCGAGGAGCGAAAGCGUGGGGAGCGAACAGG